GCACAGGGAAAGGAGAUGAAAGUGAAUGUUUGAAAUAAACAGGACAGCCCAACUCGGACUAAGAGAAGAAAAACACAAAUGCAGAGACCUGUGACAUCUGAUGGGCUGAGUGACCUGAUGAAGUUUUGGAUCGGGUGGAAACUACCAACAAGAAACCUCAGUGUGGAGGUAGUAACUUCAGCUUCUCCAGUGGCUCUCACCUGCUUCUUCAAGUUGAAGCUCCCCGGCCACUACCAGACCUACAGGACGUUUCACCAGGACUUGGUGAUGGUCCUGAGGUCCAUAAGUUCUUGCUUUGGACUUGUGUAGAGGCAAAUGACAUCAACUUGUUGCUGUCAUUCCCUCUUGUAAAAUGAUAUCCCUUUAAAAAAAGAGCAAUUACUUCUGAA